rnacentral:rRNA from 1 species
GACGAACGCUGGCGGCGUGCUUAACACAUGCAAGUCGAACGGAAAGGCCCUGCUUUUGUGGGGUGCUCGAGUGGCGAACGGGUGAGUAACACGUGAGUAACCUGCCCUUGACUUUGGGAUAACUUCAGGAAACUGGGGCUACUACCGGAUAGGAGCCCCUGCUGCAUGGUGGGGGUUGGAAAGUUUCGGCGGUUGGGGAUGGACUCGCGGCUUAUCAGCUUGUUGGUGGGGUAGUGGCUUACCAAGGCUUUGACGGGUAGCCGGCCUGAGAGGGUGACCGGCCACAUUGGGACUAAGAUACGGCCCAGACUCCUACGGGAGGCAGCGGUGGGGAAUAUUGCACAAUGGGCGGAAGCCUGAUGCAGCAACGCCGCGUGCGGGAUGACGGCCUUCGGGUUGUAAACCGCUUUCGCCUGUGACGAAGCGUGAGUGACGGUAAUGGGUAAAGAAGCACCGGCUAACUACGUG